UUGCAGAGGAUGCUUCGGCGUAGGCGCCGCCUAAAGUUCCUUGGAACGGGACGUCGUAGAAGGUGAUAGCCCUGUGACAGGGCGGAUGCCGUCGCCAUGUGAAGCUCCUUCGACGAGUCGAGUUGUUUGGGAAUGCAGCUCAAAACGGGAGGUAAAUUUCUUCUAAAGCUAAAUACCGGCCGGAGACCGAUAGUGCACAAGUAGAGUGAUCGAAAGAUGAAAAGCACUUUGGAAAGAGAGUCAAACAGCGCGUGAAAUUGUUAAAAGGGAAGCGCUUGCGGUCAGAACUUGGCCGCCGUUGCUCGGGGAGGUCUCGUGCCUCCCUCGCUCUUCGGCGGCUGGGCCAGCAUCGGUUCGGGCGGCUCGAUAAAGGCCGCGGGAACGUAGCUCCCUCCGGGGAGUGUUAUAGCCCGCGGCGGAAUGGGGCCCGCCUGGAUCGAGGUCUGCGCAUCUGCUCGGAUGCUGGCGUAAUGGCCUCAAGCGGCCCGUCUUGAAACACGGACCAAGGAGUCUAACAUUCGUGCGAGUGUUCGGGUGUUAAACCCGUGCGCGCAAUGAAAGUGAACGUAGGUGGGAACCCCUCGUGGGCGCACCAUCGACCGAUCCUGAUGUCUUCGGAUGGAUUUGAGUAUGAGCACGUAUGUUGGGACCCGAAAGAUGGUGAACUWUGCGUAAACAGGGCGAAGCCAGAGGAAACUCUGGUGGAGGCUCGCAGCGGUUCUGACGUGCAAAUCGAUCGUCAAAUUCGCGCAUA
rnacentral:rRNA from 1 species